AAAUGCCCUGAAACUGGAGUUACAAGUGGGUUGUUUUGUCACCAUGUGGGUGCUGGGCAUCAAAUGCAAGAACAGCCAGUGCUCUGAACUCUUCAACCCCUUAAGUGACUAUGGAGUUUCUCUCUGACCUACUGGAUGGUGCUGAUUGUAGCAAAAGAGCCAACAUGUAGGAGUGAACAGCUGUCUGAACAACCGAAUUGUGUGUGCCCUGGACAUCAGAGUGCCCUUAUGCCAAUUGUUUCAUCAGUCAACUCAUUUUCAUAACAGCACCACAAAUUCAAAAACAAAUAAAC
rnacentral:lncRNA from 1 species